rnacentral:rRNA from 1 species
CCUACGGGAGGCAGCAGUGAGGGAUAUUGGUCAAUGGGGGAAACCCUGAACCAGCAACGCCGCGUGAGGGAAGACGGUUUUCGGAUUGUAAACCUCUGUCCUCUGUGAAGAUAAUGACGGUAGCAGAGGAGGAAGCUCCGGCUAACUACGUGCCAGCAGCCGCGGUAAUACGUAGGGAGCAAGCGUUGUCCGGAUUUACUGGGUGUAAAGGGUGCGUAGGCGGCCCUGCAAGUCAGGAGUGAAAUCCAUGGGCUUAACCCGUGGACUGCUUUUGACACUGUAGGGCUUGAGUGGAGUAGAGGCCGGGGGGAUUCCCGGGUGAGGCGGGGAAUGCG